CAUGCUGUCGUCAGCUCGUGUCGUGAGAUGUUGGGUAAGUCCCGCACGAGCGCACCCUUCCGUCUGUUGCCAUAUAAUUAGGAAUCAGACGGGACUGCCGGCUUAACCGGAGGAAGGUGGGGAUGACGUCAAGUCCUCAUGGCCCUUAUGCCCAGGGCUACACACGUGCUACAAUGGCUGACACAAAGAGAUGCGAGAUCGCGAGAUGGAGCUAACCUCAAAAAAUCAGCCUCAGUUCGGAUUGGAGCCUGCAACUCGACUCCAUGAAGCUGGAAUCGCUAGUAAUCGGAGAUCAGACGCUCCGGUGAAUACGUUCCCGGGCCUUGAACACACCGCCCGUC
rnacentral:rRNA from 1 species